GUAGAAAAAGUAAAGCAUCAUUUCUUCCACUUCUUUUCAUAGAAAGAUAAAAGAGUGCCAGAGAAAAAGAGUGAAUUGCAGAUUAAUUAAAAAAAAUCUGAAGAACUAGAGAUAAUGGGUGGUAUCAUGCUACUCAAGAAAAUUGGUUUCUUCUUCCUUCUCAUAACUGCAUCCCUUUUGUCCACUUCAUUUGCAGGUCGAGUAUCGAGGUCUUUGAGCAACUUUGAGCAGGAACCGCUAGGUGCAAUUCAUGAGGAGCAAUUACUCCAUGACGAGGAGGUGAGUGAAAUCCAUGAAAGGCUGCUUAAGGUGAACACAAAGGAUUAUGGGAGAUAUGAUCCAACUCCUGCUUUAUCCAAACCUCCUUUCAAACUCAUUCCCAACUGAUGUGAUUUCGAAAAUUUUAGGUUUUGUGGAAACCCUAAUAUGAGUUAUGAAUAUGAACCACCCUAGCUAGUACUAUAUAUUAUGAGUUACUAUACAUGUUUGCAGCUAUAUAUAUAUAGUACUGUAAGAUACUAUCCUUGUAAACUAUGUUUAUAUUUUUGCAAGAUCAUGUAGUCUCCGUCUGUAAUAUAUAUCUGUGUAAUUAUAAUGAAAAAAUAAAUUACUUAUGUAUCU